rnacentral:rRNA from 1 species
AGGACGAACGCUGGCGGCGUGCUUAACACAUGCAAGUCGAGCGGUAAGGCCUUUCGGGGUACACGAGCGGCGAACGGGUGAGUAACACGUGGGUGAUCUGCCCUGCACUUCGGGAUAAGCCUGGGAAACUGGGUCUAAUACCGGAUAUGACCUCAGGUUGCAUGACUUGGGGUGGAAAGAUUUAUCGGUGCAGGAUGGGCCCGCGGCCUAUCAGCUUGUUGGUGGGUAAUGGCCUACCAAGGCGACGACGGGUAGCCGACCUGAGAGGACGACCAGCCACACUGGGACUGAGACACGGCCCAGACUCCUACGGGAGGCAGCAGUGGGAAUUUGGACAAUGGGGAAACCCUGAUCAGCCAUCCGCGUGUGCGAUGAAGGCCUCGGUUGUAAGCACUUUGGCAGGAAGAACGGCGUGCCCGUAAUACGGACGUCGACUGACGGUACCUGCAGAAUAAGCACCGGCUAACUACGUGCCGAGUACGCCGC